UACGAAGGGGGCUAGCGUUGCUCGGGAUUACUGGGCGUAAAGCGCACGUAGGCGGGUCGCUAAGUCGGGGGUGAAAUCCUGGAGCUCAACUCCAGAACUGCCUUCGAAACUGACGAUCUUGAGUUCGGGAGAGGUGAGUGGAACUGCGAGUGUAGAGGUGAAAUUCGUAGAUAUUCGCAAGAACACCAGUGGCGAAGGCGGCUCACUGGCCCGAUACUGACGCUGAGGUGCGAAAGCGUGGGGAGCAAACAGG
rnacentral:rRNA from 1 species